UUGUGAGUUACGCUAUUCUUUGGACACCCGACUAGAGUACGCAUACUUUUAACAAGUGUAGGGUUACAAGAAUUCCACGAAACUCUCCACAAACAAUAUUCGCUGGUCUUCGCUUCCGGCAAUUUGCUUAUAAAACCUUGGAAGAGAAGUCUAGAUACUGGGCCCGUAUCUAUCGAACAGGAACUCAUAACAUUUUAUUGUACAGAUUGAAAGUAUAAAACAGAGUAACUUUACAGUAAAUUAUCCAACUUUAUCAGCAGAAUACAAUCGAAUAUUUACAUGGAUCUUUACCUAGUUCUUCUGACAAGCGUUAUUAUCGGAUCUUUGAUAGAAAGAGGAUCGGCAGAUUAUAUGAUCCCAAUUAAUUCUUCAGCUUGUGAGAACGGAUCCACUACCAAAGAAAAGAAUGCAGCCUGUUACGAAGAUUGUAAAAAGGCACCAUAUUCUGGCUUACUUAGAUAUGGUUUCUGUAAUAAUAAUCAAUGUAUUUGCAAUAUCUAUGAAUUUUCUCCAUAAGUAUAACUGCAAUUCGAAAUGUAACGAUAUAAAAAUUUAAAAUAAUAAUUGUAAUAAUUAUUUCUUUAAUUAAAAUUUCAUUCUCGAUUAAUUCUGGUCCUGGACACAACGGUUAAGGUGUCAGCCUACAACUCUGGAAAAUACAGAACCGAAUCCUGAUGAGCAAAGUAAGGAUGCCCAGGAAUUUUCGGGGAGUUCUGUUAUGGAUAUGUUGGGACUCACCUCUUCCAUCGUAUAUUCGUAUUCGAGAUUCGUAUAUUAGAGAGAUUCGUGCUGUUAAAUUUUGAUGGUUAAAGGCCGUGCCGGCCCGAGGCAAGUUUUAGGAUGGAGCGAGAUCCUAUAAUGGCGCCCCCUUGGUUGCCCCUAAUUUAUACCCUUUAAUUUUCUUUACCACUGAGGCGCCCCUUAGGACUUAGUGCCUGGAGCGGCUGCUCCGUUGGCCCUAUGGUAGGGCCGGCUCUGCCAUAUCAAAUCGGCUAAAGGUGGAGAAAAUUGGGAAAUAGAGGGAGGUCGCUUGACGUAACUCGAAUGGGGUCGGACGUAAUGAAGAUUUUUACUCGUUAUUACAUUUACAACAGCUAUAGAAUUUAAUAAUUUUCCUCUUUAUAAAAGAAGGUAUUAAUUUUAUAAAAUGUAACGUCCAACAACCAUUAUAGAUUAACACUGCAACUUAAUAUUUCAUCAUAUAUUAAAACAACUUAUUUUUUACAUUAUUAAAACAAAUUUUAUUUCAAAUAUUAUCAAUGCAACUUUAUAUUAUUUCGAAUUGUCAUAUUUUAAAUAUUAAAAUAGCAAGAUGAAUUGUAAGUAUAUACGAAAUAUUGCAGAUUAUUUGUGAUUUGAAAUAAUCUUAACUUACUCGACAAAUAUUCUUAACCUCAAGAUGAAUUGUAAGUAUAUAUCCGGUUGAUACCAGCAUUUUAGUCAAUAAAUUAUUCCAUUGGUAUAAUUUUCUUGACUAAAUUAUUUAUCAUCUUGAAAAAUGACCUAAAAAUUAAUUUUGUGAUUUACAAAUACCCCAAUUAGGCAAUGUUGGUGAAAGCAUUGCAACAUGUUUUCAACACACGUACAAAAGUUAAAUAUAAUUCUUAAUACAGUCGACCCCUAUAACACUGUUGAUAAUUCCGUUUUAUAUGAAU
rnacentral:lncRNA from 1 species